rnacentral:tRNA from 1 species
GGGCCGGUAGUUCAGUUUGGUAUGAACGCCUGAUUCGCAAUCAGGAGGUCGCGGGUUCAAAUCCCGCCCGGUCCA